AGGCCUCAUUUGAUGGUGUUGUUUGCAAAUAAAAUUUCAGUUCUGCAAUUUCUUAUUGAAGUUUUUUUGAAGGUUUUUUUUUUUUGAAAGAA